GUGCGGGAACCANNNNNUCCAAUCUCCCACCCGUGUCUACCACACCUGGUGUUGCUUUGGCGGGCCCACUCCUCCGGUCUCCGCCGGGGGGGUCGUCCCGGGGCGCGGUUUUGCCGGGGCGCGUGCCCGCCAGAGCGCAUCACUGUGAAUGCUUGUUGUGAAUGCGAGGAUUGUCUGAGUGAUGAAAUGCAAUCGUUCAAAACUUUCAACAAUGGAUCUCUUGGUUCCGGCAUCGAUGAAGAACGCAGCGAAAUGCGAUAAGUAAUGUGAAUUGCAGAAUUCCGUGAAUCAUCGAAUCUUUGAACGCACAUUGCGCCCCCUGGUAUUCCGGGGGGCAUGCCUGUCCGAGCGUCAUUGCGAACCCUCAAGCACGGCUUGUGUGUUGGGCCGCCGUCCCCCCGUUGCAGGGGGGGGGGACGGGCCUGAAAGGCAGCGGCGGCGUCGCGUCCGGUCCUCGAGCGUAUGGGGCUCUGUCACGCGCUCAAGGAGGGGUCCGGCCGGGGCCAUAGCCUCAAAGGUCAGACUUUUUUCCAAGGUUGACCUCGGAUCAGGUAGGAG
rnacentral:rRNA from 1 species